rnacentral:rRNA from 1 species
GAUGAACGCUGGCGGCGUGCCUAACACAUGCAAGUCGAGCGAUUUACUUCGGUAAAGAGCGGCGGACGGGUGAGUAACGCGUGGGUAACCUGCCCUGUACACACGGAUAACAUACCGAAAGGUAUGCUAAUACGAGAUAAUAUGCUUUUAUCGCAUGGUAGAAGUAUCAAAGUUCCGGCGGUACAGGAUGGACCCGCGUCUGAUUAGCUAGUUGGUAAGGUAACGGCUUACCAAGGCGACGAUCAGUAGCCGACCUGAGAGGGUGAUCGGCCACAUUGGAACUGAGACACGGUCCAAACUCCUACGGGAGGCAGCAGUGGGGAAUAUUGCACAAUGGGCGAAAGCCUGAUGCAGCAACGCCGCGUGAGCGAUGAAGGCCUUCGGGUCGUAAAGCUCUGUCCUCAAGGAAGAUAAUGACGGUACUUGAGGAGGAAGCCCCGGCUUACUACGUGCCAGCAGCAGCCGCGG